ACGACUCUCGGCAACGGAUAUCUCGGCUCUCGCCACGAUGAAGAAUGUAGCGAAAUGCGAUACUUAGUGUGAAUUGCAGAAUCCCGUGAAUCAUCAAGUCUUUGAACGCAAGUUGCGCCCGAGGCCUCGGCCAAGGGCACGUCUGCUUGGGCGUCGC
rnacentral:rRNA from 1 species